UACGUAGGGUGCAAGCGUUGUCCGGAAUUAUUGGGCGUAAAGAGCUCGUAGGCGGUUUGUCGCGUCUGCUGUGAAAACUGGGGGCUCAACCCCCAGCCUGCAGUGGGUACGGGCAGACUAGAGUGCGGUAGGGGAGAUUGGAAUUCCUGGUGUAGCGGUGGAAUGCGCAGAUAUCAGGAGGAACACCGAUGGCGAAGGCAGACCUCUGGGCCGUAACUGACGCUGAGGAGCGAAAGCAUGGGGAGCGAACAGG
rnacentral:rRNA from 1 species